UAUAAGCAUUAUACAGCGAAACUGCGAAUGGCUCAUUAUAUAAGUUAUCGUUUAUUUGAUAGUGCCUUACUACUUGGAUAACCGUGGUAAUUCUAGAGCUAAUACAUGCUAAAAAUCCCGACUCCGGAAGGGAUGUAUUUAUUAGAUUAAAAACCAAUGCCCUCUGGGCUCCCUGGUGAUUCAUGAUAACUUCUCGAAUCGCACGGCCUUGCGCCGGCGAUGGUUCAUUCAAAUUUCUUCCCUAUCAACUUUCGAUGUUUGGGUAGUGGCCAAACAUGGUGGCAACGGGUAACGGAGGGUUAGGGCUCGACCCCGGAGAAGGAGCCUGAGAAACGGCUACUACAUCCAAGGAAGGCAGCAGGCGCGCAAAUUACCCAAUCCCGACACGGGGAGGUAGUGACAAUAAAUACUGAUACAGGGCUCUUUUGGGUCUUGUAAUUGGAAUGAGUACAAUUUAAAUCCCUUAACGAGGAACAAUUGGAGGGCAAGUCUGGUGCCAGCAGCCGCGGUAAUUCCAGCUCCAAUAGCGUAUAUUAAAGUUGUUGUGGUUAAAAAGCUCGUAGUUGAACCUUGGGCCUGGCUGGCCGGUCCGCCUCACCGCGUGUACUGGUCCGGCCGGGCCUUUCCCUCUGUGGAACCCCAUGCCCUUCACUGGGUGUGGCGGGGAAACAGGACUUUUACUUUGAAAAAAUUAGAGUGCUCCAGGCAGGCCUAUGCUCGAAUACAUUAGCAUGGAAUAAUGAAAUAGGACGCGCGGUUCUAUUUUGUUGGUUUCUAGGACCGCCGUAAUGAUUAAUAGGGACAGUCGGGGGCAUCAGUAUUCAAUUGUCAGAGGUGAAAUUCUUGGAUUUAUUGAAGACUAACUACUGCGAAAGCAUUUGCCAAGGAUGUUUUCAUUAAUCAGGAACGAAAGUUAGGGGAUCGAAGACGAUCAGAUACCGUCGUAGUCUUAACCAUAAACUAUGCCGACUAGGGAUCGGACGAUGUUAUUUUUUGACUCGUUCGGCACCUUACGAGAAAUCAAAGUGCUUGGGCU
rnacentral:rRNA from 1 species